AGUUGGCUUGGGUCCAUUGGAUUAAUUUUGGUCAACAGGCUCUGAAGAAAAAUGACAUUUCAGGGAAUUAAGAGCACGUGUUCCUCCCUCUACCUUCUCUUUCUUCCCCCAGUGACCUUGGAGGCUACUUGUUGAUAAGUUGGUUGAAUCUGAAGAGCCCUUGGAUAUGGAGGGCUGACUGUAUAUGGCUACUCUGAAGAAUGCAAGAAACAGUGUGAUACGCUUAGGGCUUAGCACAUUUUGCCAUCUAUGGAGCAUGUGGUAUGAGUCAGAAAUGGUGUUUUUGCCCAAUUCAGAGACUAGUGCAGAAGACAGACAAAGAAAAAGACAACUCAAGUCUA
rnacentral:lncRNA from 1 species